rnacentral:tRNA from 1 species
GUGGGUGUAGCUCACUCGGUUAGAGCGUCUGAUUGUGGUCCAGAAGGUAGUCGGUUCGAUCCCGAUCACCCACC